rnacentral:rRNA from 1 species
AGUGAACGCUGGCGGUAGGCCUAACACAUGCAAGUCGAACGGCAGCACAGGAGAGCUUGCUCUCUGGGUGGCGAGUGGCGGACGGGUGAGGAAUACAUCGGAAUCUACUCUGUCGUGGGGGAUAACGUAGGGAAACUUACGCUAAUACCGCAUACGACCUACGGGUGAAAGCAGGGGAUCUUCGGACCUUGCGCGAUUGAAUGAGCCGAUGUCGGAUGAGCUAGUUGGCGGGGUAAAGGCCCACCAAGGCGACGAUCCGUAGCUGGGCUAAGAGGAUGAUCAGCCACACUGGAACUGAGACACGGUCCAGACUCCUACGGGAGGCAGCAGUGGGGAAUAUUGGACAAUGGGCGCAAGCCUGAUCCAGCCAUACCGCGUGGGUGAAGAAGGCCUUCGGGUUGUAAAGCCCUUUUGUUGGGAAAGAAAUCCAGCUGGCUAAUACCCGGUUGGGAUGACGGUACCCAAAGAAUAAGCACCGGCUAACUUCGUGCCAGCCGCCGCGGUAA